rnacentral:rRNA from 1 species
CCUACGGGAGGCAGCAGUCGAGAAUCAUUCACAAUGGGGGAAACCCUGAUGGUGCGACGCCGCGUGGGGGAAUGAAGGUCUUCGGAUUGUAAACCCCUGUCAUGUGGGAGCAAAUUAAAAAGAUAGUACCACAAGAGGAAGAGACGGCUAACUCUGUGCCAGCAGCCGCGGUAAUACAGAGGUCUCAAGCGUUGUUCGGAAUCACUGGGCGUAAAGCGUGCGUAGGCUGUUUCGUAAGUCGUGUGUGAAAGGCGCGGGCUCAACCCGCGGACGGCACAUGAUACUGCGAGACUAGAGUAAGGGAGGGGGAACCGGAAUUCUCGGUGGAGCAGUGAAAUGCGUAGAUAUCGAGAGGAACACUCGGGGCGAAGGCGGGUUCCUGGACAGUAACUGACGCUGAGGCACGAAGGCCAGGGGAGCGAAAGGGAUUAGAUACCCGAGUAGUC